rnacentral:rRNA from 1 species
UAUGACUCUCGGCAAUGGAUAUCUUGGCUCUUGCAUCGAUGAAGAGCGCAGCGAAAUGCGAUACGUGGUGUGAAUUGCAGAAUCCCGUGAACCAUCGAGUUUUUGAACGCAAGUUGCGCCCGAGGCCAAUUGGCUAAGGGCACGUCCGCCUGGGCGUCAAGCAU